UUACGGCCACAUCACGUUGAAAAACUGUUCCCGGACGAUUACCGAAGUUAAGCAACGUCGAGCCUGAUCAUUACCUAGAUGGGUGACUGCUUGGUAAUACCUGGUGUUGUAAG